UCCGAAGGGGGCUAUCGUUGUUCGGAAUUACUGGGCGUAAAGCGCGUGUAGGCGGGCCGUUAAGUCGGGGGUGAAAGGCCUGGGCUCAACCUGGGAACUGCCUUUGAAACUGGAGGUCUUGAGUCCGGGAGAGGAUGGCGGAAUUCCCAGUGUAGAGGUGAAAUUCGUAGAUAUUGGGAAGAACACCGGUGGCGAAGGCGGCCAUCUGGUCCGGCACUGACGCUGAGGCGCGAAAGCGUGGGGAGCAAACUGG
rnacentral:rRNA from 1 species